GACGAACGCUGGCGGCGUGCUUAACACAUGCAAGUCGAGCGGUAAGGCCCUUUCGGGGGGUACACGAGCGGCGAACGGGUGAGUAACACGUGGGUGACCUGCCCUCAGCUCUGGGAUAAGCCUGGGAAACCGGGUCUAAUACCGGAUAUGACUCCAUGACGCAUGUUGUGGGGUGGAAAGCCUUGUGCGGCUGAGGAUGGGCCCGCGGCCUAUCAGCUUGUUGGUGGGGUGANGGCCUACCAAGGCGACGACGGGUAGCCGGCCUGAGAGGGCGACCGGCCACACUGGGACUGAGACACGGCCCAGACUCCUACGGGAGGCAGCAGUGGGGAAUCUUGCGCAAUGGGCGAAAGCCUGACGCAGCGACGCCGCGUGAGGGAUGACGGCCUGGUGU
rnacentral:rRNA from 1 species